AGAGUUUGAUCAUGGCUCAGAUUGAACGCUGGCGGCAGGCUUAACACAUGCAAGUCGAGCGGAGAUGAGGUGCUUGCACCUUAUCUUAGCGGCGGACGGGUGAGUAAUGCUUAGGAAUCUGCCUAUUAGUGGGGGACAACAUUCCGAAAGGGAUGCUAAUACCGCAUACGUCCUACGGGAGAAAGCAGGGGAUCUUCGGACCUUGCGCUAAUAGAUGAGCCUAAGUCGGAUUAGCUAGUUGGUGGGGUAAAGGCCUACCAAGGCGACGAUCUGUAGCGGGUCUGAGAGGAUGAUCCGCCACACUGGGACUGAGACACGGCCCAGACUCCUACGGGAGGCAGCAGUGGGGAAUAUUGGACAAUGGGGGGAACCCUGAUCCAGCCAUGCCGCGUGUGUGAAGAAGGCCUUAUGGUUGUAAAGCACUUUAAGCGAGGAGGAGGCUACUGAGACUAAUACUCUUGGAUAGUGGACGUUACUCGCAGAAUAAGCACCGGCUAACUCUGUGCCAGCAGCCGCGGUAAUACAGAGGGUGCGAGCGUUAAUCGGAUUUACUGNGCGUAAAGCGUGCGUAGGCGGCUUUUUAAGUCGGAUGUGAAAUCCCCGAGCUUAACUUGGGGAAUUGCAUUCGAUACUGGGAAGCUAGAGUAUGGGAGAGGAUGGUAGAAUUCCAGGUGUAGCGGUGAAAUGCGUAGAGAUCUGGAGGAAUACCGAUGGCGAAGGCAGCCAUCUGGCCUAAUACUGACGCUGAGGUACGAAAGCAUGGGGAGCAAACAGGAUUAGAUACCCUGGUAGUCCACGCCGUAAACGAUGAGUGCUAAGUGUUAGAGGGUAUCCACCCUUUAGUGCUGCAGCAAANNCAUUAANCACUCCGCCUGGGGAGUACGGNCGCAAGGCUGAAACUCNAAGGA
rnacentral:rRNA from 1 species